AACGAACGCUGGCGGCGUGCCUAACACAUGCAAGUCGCACGAGAAAAGGGUAGCAAUACUCUGAGUAAAGUGGCGCACGGGUGAGUAACACGUAGGUAACCUACCUCUAAGACCGGGAUAACUUGUCGAAAGACGGGCUAAUACCAGAUAAGACCACAGUCCUUGCGGGGACCGGGGUCAAAGGUGGCCUCUACACGUAAGCUAUCACUUAGAGAUGGGCCUGCGCACCAUUAGCUAGNGGUGGGUAACGGCCACCAAGGCAAGAUGGUUAGCUGGUCUGAGAGGAUGAUCAGCCACACUGGGACUGAGACACGGCCCAGACUCCUACGGGAGGCAGCAGUGGGGAAUCUUGCGCAAUGGGCGAAAGCCUGACGCAGCAACGCCGCGUGGGUGAUGAAGGCC
rnacentral:rRNA from 1 species